rnacentral:rRNA from 1 species
AAAUUGAAGAGUUUGAUCAUGGCUCAGAUUGAACGCUGGCGGCAGGCCUAACACAUGCAAGUCGAGCGGCAGCGGGAAAGUAGCUUGCUACUUUUGCCGGCGAGCGGCGGACGGGGACGGGUGAGUAAUGCCUGGGGAUCUGCCCAGUCGAGGGGGAUAACUACUGGAAACGGUAGCUAAUACCGCAUACGCCCUACGGGGGAAAGCAGGGGACCUUCGGGCCUUGCGCGAUUGGAUGAACCCAGGUGGGAUUAGCU